GACGAACGCUGGCGGCGUGCUUAACACAUGCAAGUCGAACGGAAAGGCCCUGCUUUUGUGGGGUGCUCGAGUGGCGAACGGGUGAGUAACACGUGAGUAAACUGCCCUUGACUUUGGGAUAACUUCAGGAAACUGGGGCUAAUACCGGAUAGGAGCUCCUGCUGCAUGGUGGGGGUUGGAAAGUUUCGGCGGUUGGGGCUGGACUCGCGGCUUCUCAGCUUGUUGGUGGGGUAGUGGCUUACCAAGGCUUUGACGGGUAGCCGGCCUGAGAGGGGGACCGGCCACAUGGGGCCUGCGAGACGGACCAGACGCCUACGGGCGGCAGCAGUGGGGAAUAUUGCACAGUGGGCGGAAGCGUGAUGCAGCAACGCCGGGUGCGGGAUGACGGCUUACGGGUUAUAAACAGCUUUCGACUGUGACGAAGCGUGAGUGACGGUAAUGGGUAAAGAAGCACCGGCUAACUACGUG
rnacentral:rRNA from 1 species